GUCGGCUACGAGGACGACGCUGGCGGCGUGCUUAACACAUGCAAGUCGAACGGAGUUCCUUGGAUAGAGGCUUCGGCCAAUUGAAUUGGAACUUAGUGGCGGACUGGUGAGUAACGCGUGAGGAACCUGCCUUUCAGAGGGGGACAACAGUUGGAAACGACUGCUAAUACCGCAUGACACAUUCGGAUGGCAUCACCUGAAUGUCAAAGAUUUUAUCGCUGAAAGAUGGCCUCGCGUCUGAUUAGUUAGUUGGUGGGGUAACGGCCCACCAAGGCGACGAUCAGUAGCCGGACUGAGAGGUUGACCGGCCACAUUGGGACUGAGAUACGGCCCAGACUCCUACGGGAGGCAGCAGUGGGGAAUAUUGGGCAAUGGACGCAAGUCUGACCCAGCAACGCCGCGUGAAGGAAGAAGGCUUUCGGGUUGUAAACUUCUUUUAAGUGGGAAGAGCAAAAGACGGUACCACUUGAAUAAGCCACGGCUAACUACGUG
rnacentral:rRNA from 1 species